GGAGGUGUAGCUCAGUGGUAGAGCGUGUGCUUAGCAUGCACAAGGUCCUGGGCUCAAUUCCCAGUACUUCCA
rnacentral:tRNA from 1 species